rnacentral:rRNA from 1 species
UACAGAGGUCUCGAGCGUUAGGCGGAAUCACUGGGCUUAAAGCGUGUGUAGGCGGAUUGCUAAGUACCUUGUGAAAUCCCAUGGCUUAACCGUGGAACUGCUUGGUAUACUGGCUGUCUUGAGCCACUUAGGGGCAACCGGAACAAACGGUGGAGCGGUGAAAUGCGUAGAUAUCGUUUGGAACGCCAAUGGUGAAAACAGGUUGCUGGGAGUGUGCUGACGCUGAGGUGCGAAAGCGUGGGGAGCAAACAGG